AACGUACGCUGGCGGCACGCCUAACACAUGCAAGUCGAACGAAGUAGCAAUACUUAGUGGCAGACGGGUGAGUAACAUGUAGGUAUCUGCCCUUUGGCCUGGAAUAACACGAGGAAACUUGUGCUAAUACCGGAUAAGUCUUUACAGAGAAAGCUUUAUGCACCAUUGGAUGAGCCUGCACUUGAUUAGUUUGUUGGUGGGGUAAUGGCCUACCAAGACUGUGAUCAAUAGCUGAUUUGAGAGGAUGAUCAGCCACAUUGGGACUGAGACACGGCCCAAACUCCUACGGGAGGCAGCAGUGGGGAAUCUUGCACAAUGGAGGAAACUCUGAUGCAGCGAUGCCGCGUGAGUGAAGAAGGCCCUUGGGUUGUAAAGCUCUUUCGUCGGGGAAGAAAAUGACUGUACCCGAAUAAGAAGGUCCGGCUAACUUCGUGCCAGCAGCCGCGGUAAUACGAAGGGACCUAGCGUAGUUCGGAAUUACUGGGCUUAAAGAGUUCGUAGGUGGUUGAAAAAGUUAGUGGUGAAAUCCCAGAGCUUAACUCUGGAACUGCCAUUAAAACUUUUCAGCUAGAGUAUGAUAGAGGAAAGCAGAAUUUCUAGUGUAGAGGUGAAAUUCGUAGAUAUUAGAAAGAAUACCAAUUGCGAAGGCAGCUUUCUGGAUCAUUACUGACACUGAGGAACGAAAGCAUGGGUAGCGAAGAGGAUUAGAUACCCUCGUAGUCCAUGCCGUAAACGAUGUGUGUUAGACGUUGGAAAUUUAUUUUCAGUGUCGCAGGGAAACCGAUAAACACACCGCCUGGGGAGUACGACCGCAAGGUUAAAACUCAAAUGAAUUGACGGGGACCCGCACAAGUAGUGGAGCAUGUGGUUUAAUUCGAAGAUACGCGCAGAACCUUACCAACACUUGACAUGUUCGUCGCGACUCUAAGAGAUUAGAGUUUUCGGUUCGGCCGGACGAAACACAGGUGCUGCAUGGCUGUCGUCAGCUCGUGUCGUGAGAUGUUGGGUUAAGUCCCGCAACGAGCGCAACCCUCACUUUUAGUUGCCAUCAUUAAGUUGGGCACUCUGAAAGAACUGCCAGUGAUAAGCUGGAGGAAGGUGGGGAUGACGUCAAGUCCUCAUGGCCCUUACGUGUUGGGCUACACACGUGCUACAAUGGUAUCUACAACAGGAAGCAAGACUGCGAAGUUAAGCAAAUCCCUAAAAGAUACCUCAGUUCGGAUUGCACUCUGCAACUCGAGUGCAUGAAGCUGGAAUUACUAGUAAUCGUGGAUCAGCGUGCCACGGUGAAUGCGUUCCCGGGUCU
rnacentral:rRNA from 1 species